rnacentral:rRNA from 1 species
CCGGCACGGGGAGGUAGUGACAAAAAAUAACGAUACGGGACUCUAUUGAGGCCCCGUAAUCGGAAUGAGUACACUUUAAAUUCUUUAACAAGGAUCUAUUGGAGGGCAAGUCUGGUGCCAGCAGCCGCGGUAAUUCCAGCUCCAAUAGCGUAUAUUAAAGUUGUUGCGGUUAAAAAGCUCGUAGUUGGUUCUGCGUGCCGCGCUGUUGGUUCGCCGCCUGUCGGUGUAACUGACAUGUCGCGGCAUGUCCUGUCGGUGGUGAACGGAAUUCCCGGUGCAACGUUUGUUUCAAAGCUUACGUUUGCGUUGUGUGAAUUUCGUUCACCGAUCUCCUAUCCGGUGCUCUUAAACGAGUGUCGAGAUAGGCCGACACGUUCACUUUGAACAAAUUAGAGUGCUUAAAGCAGGCUAAAAUCUCUGCCUGAAUAGUGGUGCAUGGAAUGAUAAAAUAGGACCUCGGUUCUAUUUUGUUGGUUUUAGGAAUGUGAGGUAAUGAUCAAUAUGGACAGGCGGGGGCAUUCGUAUUGCGGCGUUAGAGGUGAAAUUCUUGGAUCGUCGCAAGACGCACUAAAGCGAAAGCAUUUGCCAAGUAUGUCUUAAUUGAUCAAGAACGAAAGUUAGAGGUUCGAAGGCGAUCAGAUACCGCCCUAGUUCUAACCAUAAACGAUGCCAGCCAGCGAUCCGUCGAUGUUUCUAUAAUGACUCGACGGGGAGCUUCCGAUCCCGGGAAACCAAAGCUUUUGGGUUCCGGGGGAAGUAUGGUUGCAAAGCUGAAACUUAAAGGAAUUGACGGAAGGGCACCACCAGGAGUGGAGCCUGCGGUUCAAUUUGACUCACACG